AAAAAGGGUGCUCGUCUUGCACGUUAAUUCCAUUCAGGGUUGACAACCUUGCGUGCGGACGCAUUGCAGUGUUCACGUUCAACUUCAUAUAAAUUUUGAAGUGAGUGAUUUUUGUCACUUGCCUCUGUUUUAUACGAACGUAUUGGGCACUCCAGUGGGGUAUGGCUUUGCAUAUCCAGUGCAUAAUUUUUGUGAUAUGAGACAUGAACUGUCAAAGUGCAUUGCUUUU